rnacentral:rRNA from 1 species
GACGAACGCUGGCGGCGUGCUUAACACAUGCAAGUCGAACGAAGAGCGAUGGAAGCUUGCUUCUAUCAAUCUUAGUGGCGAACGGGUGAGUAACGCGUAAUCAACCUGCCCUUCAGAGGGGGACAACAGUUGGAAACGACUGCUAAUACCGCAUACGAUCUAAUCUCGGCAUCGAGGAUAGAUGAAAGGUGGCCUCUACAUGUAAGCUAUCACUGAAGGAGGGGAUUGCGUCUGAUUAGCUAGUUGGAGGGGUAACGGCCCACCAAGGCGAUGAUCAGUAGCCGGUCUGAGAGGAUGAACGGCAACAGUGGGACUGAGACACGGCCCAGACUCCUACGGGAGGCAGCAGUGGGGAAUCUUCCGCAAUGGACGAAAGUCUGACGGAGCAACGCCGCGUGAGUGAUGACGGCCUUCGGGUUGUAAAGCUCUGUUAAUCGGGACGAAAGGCCUUCUUGCGAAUAGGGAGAAGGAUUGACGGUACCGGAAGAGAAAGCCACGGCUAACUACGUG